rnacentral:lncRNA from 1 species
UUUAAGAUUUUAACUUCUCUCUAUAAACGCCUCAGCAACACAUAAAAUCAUACCUCAUAACAAUAAAAAAGAACUUCCUUAAUAAUUCAAGAAAGCUUAAUGUUCAUCUGGUACCAGAGUUUGAUUUUGAACACAUUUUUUUUAAUUAGUUAAAAAUUAUUUAACAUCCUGUUUAAAGAAAUAAAACUAAAGUGUUCUCUUUUUACAGUGCUGAGUUCUAUUCUAAAUGUCGUGGAAAGACAAGAUACUUGUGCUCGAGAGAUGUUAACCAGAUUAUCAGACCCUCGAAGCUUUCACUGUUCCAUUUGAAACACUUUUCCUUCUUUGGCAUUCUUCAGCAUCAACACCAACACCUCCAAUCAUUAUCUGCGUGUAUAUAGGACAAAGCUUUAAAUGAGGUACAAUCUGCUUUCUCAAUUUUGCACUGAGGAAAAUGGCAACCUCUGCCUCAAUUACAGGUAAAGUUAGUUUUGCAAUCUUUCGUGUAUAUUAAAUAGAUUUCAAACUAACAUCUGCAAAUUUUCAAAUUUCUCAGUGCUGAUUUCUCUCAUGAAGAAAGCACACUGCACUGUUCUCAGAAGUAUUUUUCUGCCUCUAAGUUAAUUAAAAGGUUUGGUUGAGGACAAUCCUUGCAAUGACCGUGAUGUUUGGAGAGACUUUAUGAAAUUCAUUGGUGGCAUAGAGGUGGACACCCACUGAACAAAGGGUCCAGUUUAAUUUA